AUUGAACGCUGGCGGCAGGCCUAACACAUGCAAGUCGAACGGUAGCACAGAGGAGCUUGCUCCUUGGGUGACGAGUGGCGGACGGGUGAGUAAUGUCUGGGAAACUGCCUGAUGGCGGGGGAUAACUACUGGAAACGGUAGCUAAUACCGCAUAACGUCGCAAGACCAAAGAGGGGGACCUUCGGGCCUCUUGCCAUCAGAUGUGCCCAGAUGGGAUUAGCUAGUAGGUGGGGUAAUGGCUCACCUAGGCGACGAUCCCUAGCUGGUCUGAGAGGAUGACCAGCCACACUGGAACUGAGACACGGUCCAGACUCCUACGGGAGGCAGCAGUGGGGAAUAUUGCACAAUGGGCGCAAGCCUGAUGCAGCCAUGCCGCGUGUAUGAAGAAGGCCUUCGGGUUGUAAAGUACUUUCAGCGGGGAGGAAGGCGAUAAGGUUAAUAACCUUGUCGAUUGACGUACCCGCAGAAGAG
rnacentral:rRNA from 1 species